rnacentral:miRNA from 1 species
GGCAUAAUUCUGUCAAUUCC